rnacentral:lncRNA from 1 species
AUAAGCAGGGCACAGAAUACCCCUGAGGCUGACUGCCCAGCCUGUUGCUUUUUCACUUUAGGAAAACAACGUCCGUUCUCAUUCCCACGGGCACUCUGCGCGCACACCUUUGUUAUUCUGGGGAAUCGGCUUCUGCUGUGAUGACCUGGCAAGUCUGGGUUCGGAUCCACACCGUCUUCCACGUGGCUUCGGCUGUCCUGGGCAAAGAGCCUUCCUCUCUGGAUCACACACCCGAGCUCCGAGCAGCCAGGCGUCCCACUCCUGUGUCCUCAGGCCAAUGUGGACCAAAGGUUGAUGCAAAGCGACUGAAAU